rnacentral:lncRNA from 1 species
AUAACGUUUGCCUUAAGACAUGCUAAUAUCUUUGGUGUUUACUCAGAUUAGAACUAUGAAUACUAAAAAAAAAAAAAAAGAACUAUGAAUACUAAUAACCGAUGCUAAUAUAUCCAAAAAUGCUUUGUUGUAUAGGGAUCAGAACCACAGGUGAGAACAGAUGUAUGAACCUGUAAAAGACAGAGAAACAAUUUCAAACUGGCAGGUAAUUGACCAUUCUCUGAAAUCAGUGCCCUAAUGAACCUGUGUCCUGGUGUGUUCUCUGUCUCCUCCCACCAGAAAUAACCAGGAAAAAGGAAAAAUAUGCACAUAUCAGAAAAACAACAUCAAGGAGUAUUAUCAUAACUGUUGUAGCUGAAGCAUUGGAGUACAUUGAGGAAGAAACAGCACUGUGCAAAACAGGAUGAGUACCAGCUUACCUUUGAAUAAGAAGUAUCCUGGAGCUGAGGUUGCCUGGCCAUCUCAGCUGUGAAGCAUUUGUAAGAUCUAUCAAUCCCACUCAGGACCUAUCCCACUACUGUAAUAAUCUUCUCAGAUCUGUAUUAUUCUCUAUUUUCUGGGCUGAGAGACAUAGCAACACGAUGUAGAGGGAGACUAAAUAAAUUACCUGAGUUUUAAAAAAAUUAGUCA